GCUCGCGUAGCUCAACUGGCAGAGCAGGGGACUCUUAAUCCCAAGGUUCAGGGUUCGAUUCCCUGCGCGAGCACCA
rnacentral:tRNA from 5 species